rnacentral:rRNA from 1 species
AGAUUGAACGCUGGCGGCAUGCCUAACACAUGCAAGUCGAACGGGAGUAGCAAUACUCUAGUGGCGGACGGGUGAGGAAUACGUAGGAAUUUGCCCUUAAGUGGGGGAUAACCCGGGGAAACCCGGAUUAAUACCGCAUGACCUCGAAAGAGCAAAGUGGGGGAUGGCAAGACCUCACGCUUUUGGAGAAGCCUACGUCGGAUUAGCUAGUUGGUGAGGUAAUGGCUCACCAAGGCGACGAUCCGUAACUGGUCUGAGAGGAUGAUCAGUCACACCGGAACUGAGACACGGUCCGGACUCCUACGGGAGGCAGCAGGUGGGGAAUAUUGGACAAUGGGCGCAAG